UACGUAGGGGGCUAGCGUUGUCCGGAAUCAUUGGGCGUAAAGAGCGCGUAGGCGGCCAGAUAAGUCCGGUGUGAAAGUCACAGGCUCAACCUGUGAAUGCCGCUGGAAACUGUCUGGCUAGAGUCCGGGAGGGGCGAGUGGAAUUCCUGGUGUAGCGGUGAAAUGCGCAGAUAUCAGGAGGAACACCAAUGGCGAAGGCAGCUCGCUGGAACGGUACUGACGCUGAGGCGCGAGAGCGUGGGGGAGCAAACAGG
rnacentral:rRNA from 1 species